rnacentral:rRNA from 1 species
AGAGUUUGAUCAUGGCUCAGAUUGAACGCUGGCGGCAUGCCUUACACAUGCAAGUCGAACGGUAACAGGUCUUCGGACGCUGACGAGUGGCGAACGGGUGAGUAAUACAUCGGAACGUGCCCAGUCGUGGGGGAUAACUACUCGAAAGAGUAGCUAAUACCGCAUACGAUCUGAGGAUGAAAGCGGGGGACCUUCGGGCCUCGCGCGAUUGGAGCGGCCGAUGGCAGAUUAGGUAGUUGGUGGGAUAAAAGCUUACCAAGCCGACGAUCUGUAGCUGGUCUGAGAGGACGACCAGCCACACUGGGACUGAGACACGGCCCAGACUCCUACGGGAGGCAGCAGUGGGGAAUUUUGGACAAUGGGCGAAAGCCUGAUCCAGCAAUGCCGCGUGCAGGAUGAAGGCCUUCGGGUUGUAAACUGCUUUUGUACGGAACGAAAAAGCUUCUCCUAAUACGAGAGGCCCAUGACGGUACCGUAAGAAUAAGCACCGGCUAACUACGUGCCAGCAGCCGCGGUAAUACGUAGGGUGCGAGCGUUAAUCGGAAUUACUGGGCGUAAAGCGUGCGCAGGCGGUUAUGUAAGACAGAUGUGAAAUCCCCGGGCUCAACCUGGGAAACUGCAUUUGUGACUGCAUGGCUAGAGUACGGUAGAGGGGGAUGGAAUUUCCGCGUGUAGCAAUGAAAUGCGUAAAUAUGCGGAGGAACACCGAUGGGCGAAAGGCAAUCCCCUGAACCUGUACUGACGCUCAUGCACGAACGCCGUGCGGGAGCAAACCAGGCAUUAGAUACCCCUGGGCAGCUCCUCGCCCUAAACGAUGUCAACUGG